CAAGCAUGUGCUAGUGGGUAUUAAUUUAUGUAAUCUAAAAUGCAGCAUAUCUGUUGACUUUGAUUAUUUUAUCAUUUAUUUGGAUCUUUUCUCAUUACUUUCAGGAUGAGUCGGUUUUGAUAUGGUUCUCAGGGAAAGAGGAGAAACAUCUUAGACUAAGCCAUGUCUCUAGAAUCAUCUCUGGGCAACGUACAGUAAGCUUCUUACUAUGAAAAUGAUGUACUGGUAUAUAGCAACUGAACCUUGACUUUACUGCAGUUACACAUAUACAAGCUUGUGAUAAUGUUUAUACCCUUUAAAGUUCUUCAUUUCUCUCUCCUUUCGAAUCUCUUUUAUAGAACUGAUACAUGUUACUAGGUUGGUUUAGCAAAUAGGAAGCUCAUAUGUAGAUCAUAAGGAUGAGAAAAUUUCACAUUGCAAUUAGAAUCAUUGUCAAAUUUCACAUUGCAAUUAGAAUCAUUGUCUAAAUCUGACUAGCGAUGGAGCUGACUGAAAUAAUGGUCACAUGGUAAGAAUUCACAUCUUAUGUAAGUGUCCUCAAUAAUCACUUGAGUAUGAAUUCCUAUUCUAGAUAUUUUCUUUUACUCAAAACAGCAAGCAAAAUCUAUUGCUGUUAUGACCUAGCAUUCUUUAUUGAUUAAUUUUGGCCAUCAAGUGGUACUGGUCCACUGGAAGUGGGGUCUUGCGAGGGGUUUGUCUGUUGUUACAGUCCCAGCCUGAACUGUAUAUGCCUAAAGUAAUUUCUCCUGCAUGUAUGAUUUACACAAUUGAUUGUCAAGAUUUUGUCUAUUGAAAUAGGAAAAAUUUCACUGUGUUUUGCCACACUGGUGUCUAUACAUAAUCGUUGACCUUGUUAACUUUCUGUUAGUCCAUCUCUGCCAUCAGGAAUUUUUUGAGUAGGCAUCACCUGUCCCAAUAUCAUAAAAAUUUGCUUCCCAAAUUUUAUUGGUGUGUUUUUGUAUCUGUUAAUUGUCUGUGACUGUAUGUGGUCAGAUAUUAGAAUGGUUCUAAGCUUCAUAUUUGCAUGAUGAAUUUUGUAAUGCAUGUCUUUUUUCUUCUGAUGGUACUGAUCAAACAUUGACUUAUUUUUCCAGCCAAUCUUUCAAAGAUAUCCUCGACCUGAGAAGGAGUACCAGUCUUUUUCUCUUAUAUAUAAUGACAGGUCACUGGAUUUGAUCUGCAAAGAUAAAGAUGAAGCUGAGGUAUGGUUUAGUGGUUUAAAAGCAUUAAUUUCUCGUGGUCAUCAUCGAAAAUGGAGAACAGAAUCAAGGAGUGACGGAAUUCCAUCUGAAGCAAACAGUCCUAGGAGAUACACUCGUAGAAGUUCUCCUUUGAAUUCUCCAUUUGGUAGUAAUGACAAUUUGCAGAAGGAUGGAGAUCACCUUCGUCUUCGUAGUCCAUGUGAAAGUCCCCCUAAAAAUGGCCUGGAUAAGGCAUUUUCAGAUGUGAUAUUAUAUUCUGUUCCUCCCAAGGGAUUUUUCCCUUCAGAUUCUGCUAGUGGUUCAGUACAUUCAUUGUCAUCUGGUGGCUCAGAUAGUGUAUAUGGUCAUAUGAAGGCGAUGGCAAUGGAUGCCUUUAGAGUUAGCCUAUCUAGUGCUGUUAGCUCAUCAAGCCAAGGUUCUGGUCAUGAUGAUGUUGAUGCCCUAGGAGAUAUAUUCAUUUGGGGAGAAGGGACAGGGGAUGGCAUCCUAGGAGGCGGAAGUCAUAGGGUUGGAAGUGACUUUGGUGUAAAAAUGGAUUCUUUAUUGCCUAAAGCCUUAGAAUCUACUGUAGUACUUGAUGUCCAGUAUAUUGCCUGUGGUGGAAGACAUGCAGCCUUGGUUACCAAGCAAGGAGAGAUUUUCUCCUGGGGAGAGGAAUCGGGAGGCAGGCUUGGGCAUGGUGUAGACUCUGAUGUUUUGCAUCCAAAGCUUAUUGAGGCCCUCAGUAAUAUAAACAUUGAGUUUGUGGCAUGUGGUGAGUACCAUACCUGUGCGGUAACACUUUCUGGUGAUUUGUACACAUGGGGUGAUGGAACUUAUAAUUUUGGUCUUCUUGGCCAUGGAAAUGAAGUAAGCCACUGGGUUCCAAAAAGAGUGAAUGGGCCCUUGGAAGGCAUACAUGUCUCAUCUAUCUCUUGUGGACCCUGGCAUACAGCAGUUGUAACCUCUGCUGGGCAAUUGUUUACUUUUGGUGAUGGAACAUUUGGAGUUCUGGGUCAUGGAGAUCGGAAAAGUGUUUCAAUACCAAGGGAAGUGGAGUCCCUUAAAGGUCUCCGCACUGUGCGAGCUGCUUGUGGUGUUUGGCAUAGUGCUGCAGUUGUGGAAGUCAUGGUUGGGAAUUCAAGUUCCAGCAAUUGUUCUUCAGGGAAGCUGUUCACUUGGGGAGAUGGAGAUAAAGGUCGGCUUGGGCAUGGUGACAAGGAAGCAAAACUGGUUCCUACAUGUGUUGCUGCUCUUGUUGAACCAAACUUUUGCCAAGUUGCAUGCGGACAUAGUCUAACAGUUGCACUUACAACAUCAGGCCAUGUCUACACAAUGGGCAGUCCUGUUUAUGGCCAGCUAGGCAACCCUCAUGCUGAUGGAAAGCUUCCCACCCGUGUUGAAGGAAAGCUCUCUAAGAGUUUUGUUGAUGAGAUUGCUUGUGGUGCUUAUCAUGUUGCAGUUUUAACUUCAAAAACUGAAGUUUACACCUGGGGAAAGGGAGCAAAUGGACGAUUAGGCCAUGGGGAUAGUGAUGAUAGAAAUUUCCCAUUACUAGUAGAAGCUUUGAAAGACAAACAAGUAAAAAGUAUUGCCUGUGGUACUAAUUUUACUGCAGCUAUCUGUCUUCAUAAGUGGGUAUCUGGUAUUGACCAAUCCAUGUGUUCCGGCUGCCACCUUCCAUUUAAUUUCAAAAGAAAACGACACAAUUGUUAUCAUUGUGGACUAGUUUUUUGUCAUUCAUGUAGCAGCAAAAAGUCCCUUAAGGCUUCCAUGGCACCGAAUCCUAAUAAAUCUUAUCGUGUCUGUGAUAAUUGCUCUAAUAAACUAAGGAAAGCCAUUGCAACUGAUGCUUCAUCUCAGUCUUUCGUAAAUAGGAGAGGUAGUGUGAAUCAUGGGUCUAAUGAGUUCAUUGAAAAAGAUGAGAAGUUGGACUCUAGAUUUCGUGCACAACUUGCUAGGUUUUCAUCAAUGGAAUCCUUGAAGCAGGCAGAAAGUCGAUCCAAGAGAAACAAGAAACUGGAAUUCAACAGUAGUCGUGUUUCACCAGUUCCUAAUGGAGGUUCCCAAAGGGGAGCACUUAAUAUUUCUAAAUCCUUUAAUCCAAUGUUUGGUUCAUCCAAAAAAUUUUUCUCAGCUUCUGUUCCUGGAUCACGUAUUGUUUCUCGAGCAACAUCACCUAUAUCAAGAAGGCCCAGCCCACCUCGCUCAACGACACCAACCCCAACCCUGGGUGGACUAACCUCACCAAAAAUUGUUGUAGAUGAUGCUAAAAGAACAAAUGAGAGUCUCAGCCAAGAGGUUAUUAAAUUGAGAGCACAGGUUCAAAAUCUUACUCGCAAAGCCCAGCUUCAGGAAGUUGAGCUGGAAAGGACAACUAAACAACUGCAGGAAGCAAUAGCAAUUGCAGGUGAAGAGACAGCUAAAUGCAAAGCAGCUAAAGAAGUGAUCAAAUCACUGACUGCCCAAUUAAAAGACAUGGCUGAAAGGCUACCAGUAGGAGCAGCCCGGAACAUCAAAUCACCCUUCUUCACUUCGCCUGCCUUGACUACUCCUUCCGAUGAUGUUCCUAAUGCUUCUUUUGAUUGUCUGGAUGGUCAAAUAGCAUCUGAAGGAUCAGACACAAAUGGAUUAAACAGCCAGGUUCAGUCUAAUGGCUCUAGCGCCACCAGCAUCCGUACUUCAGGUCACAACAAACAAGGCCAUUUGGAAGCAACAGCAAGAAAUGGAAGCAGAAAAAAAGAAGUUGAAUCAAACCAUGAAGCUGAACGUGUGGAGCAAGAUGAGCCUGGAGUAUAUAUAACAUUUGCCUCCCUGCCAGGUGGUGUCAAGGAUCUGAAGCGAGUACGGUUCAGGUGCGUUGUUUUAGGGAAUCUAAUAGUCUAAAUCAGUCUCAUAGUUUUCUGUAGUAAAUCAAUACUGUUAGUAUUAAUAUACCGAAGUGUAAACAUUUCUAUUCUUCUGCCUCAAGUUGAAAACAAUUUUAAUUGAGAUGACAUUCAUGUGGUUUUGAAAUUAUAUCUUCCAUUAUAUAGACGAGUACUUGAAUAGCUGUUGUUCUGAUCAAUCCAAUUCAGCAACCAAAUUUUUGGAAAGCUGACUCAUGAGAGGAAAAUUUUAGUCCUGUUGGCUUGCUAACAAAGUAUGCAUCUAUUUUUCCUUCAUUUUCCUGUGGGGUAGAAGAGUUACAAAUGUCAGGGAGCUAUCCCGGUGGUCUCCUUAUUUGUUUAUUAAGUUCCCUUGGUAUAAAGUUCUGUGGUAUUUUAGUUGAAGUCUAUAUGAACCUUAUCAAGAUUUUCUAUUGGUGCAAUUAUGUUCUUUUAAAAACAAGCUGUGGAAUUUAUAAAUGCAGUCGAAAGCGGUUCAGUGAGAAGCAAGCAGAACAGUGGUGGGCAGAGAAUAGGGCCAGAGUAUAUGAACAGUACAAUGUGCUCAUGAUUGACAAGUCAAGUGUUGGUGUUGAUAGUGAAGAUUUGGCUCGUUAGCAUGCGGAAAAAAUCCCUGUAGAUGAAAAGUUUUUUUUCAUGUUUCAGCUCAUGCUGGGAAGCGACAUUCACCAAUUGGGUUUGGCCUACCAAUUGGCAUUGGCUUCCAUCCUUUCAAUGAGUUUAAAAAAGUGAAUACGGCUAUAAGAGGAGAGCAAACCGGGGGAUUUGAUUGUAUUUUUCAUAUUUUUUAACCUGUUU
rnacentral:misc_RNA from 1 species